rnacentral:tRNA from 1 species
GUGGCAGUAGUUCAGUGGUAGAGCCUCCGCUCCGCAUGUGGGUAGACCUGGGUUCGAUUCCCGGCUGCUUCC